rnacentral:SRP_RNA from 12 species
GGGCGCGCGCAGCGCCUCCCACGCGGGAUCCGCUGUCGCGAGACCAAACUCGCCCCCCAGGGCUGCGUAGCUGCAAGGCGCGGCCGCGUCCCCGGCGUGGGC